rnacentral:lncRNA from 1 species
AGAAUAAGGAUCCCAUUUCAAAUGUAUAUAGCCUUGUGUGUGCACAACAAACUAUAUAUAAAUAAAUAGGUAGACAACUCUUGUCAAUUACAUCAACUAUGUAACUCCUUGUAUUUUGCCUCUUAAAUCAUAAUGGUCAAGUGUGUGCACAUCCGGACUAAAAUUAUUUAAGUUAAGUCAGACCGAACAUUUCUAUAUAAGUGAAGAGAAAACUACAGCCCUUGUGUGUGCAC